AGUUGUUGAGGACGCUAAGGGAAAGGAGCCAUCUGGAUGGGCCCAACACAGGCCACACCCUGAUUUCAGCUCUUCUGUAUUCUGAUAUGUCUGCACAGCGGGUGUAGUUUAAAGACAGCGGCCACAGGAGGUGCACGCACUUGCUAUUCUGUCCACAGACCCGACUGCGUCUGAGCAUCUCCUGAGAAUGUUCACGUCCCUCCCACCGCCCUGUCCCACCGGCUGUGCUGGCCCACAGUAUAGCUUCCUGGUCCAGGGUUGGGCUCCUGCUCCACUGGUCACACAUCUGGCAGCCAAGGGCCCAUUUGUUUGGACUCAGCCUUGCAACUGAACAGGGUGGGUAGGGUUUUAGGGUCCUGGGAAGUGACCGGAUGCAGGAGCAGCUGAGGAGGGGACACUAAAGGCAGAUGACUGGUGUGUACUAUUCAGGGCUCUGGGUUUACUCAAAAAAAAAAAAAAAAA
rnacentral:lncRNA from 1 species